AUUGAACGCUGGCGGCAUGCCUUACACAUGCAAGUCGAACGGCAGCGCGGGCUUCGGCCUGGCGGCGAGUGGCGAACGGGUGAGUAAUGCCUCGGAACGUGCCCAGUAGUGGGGGAUAGCGCGGCGAAAGCCGGACUAAUACCGCAUACGACCUGAGGGUGAAAGUGGGGGACCGAAAGGCCUCGCGCUAUUGGAGCAGCCGAUGUCGGAUUAGCUAGUUGGUGGGGUAAAGGCUUACCAAGGCGACGAUCCGUAGCUGGUCUGAGAGGACGACCAGCCACACUGGGACUGAGACACGGCCCAGACUCCUACGGGAGGCAGCAGUGGGGAAUUUUGGACAAUGGGGGCAACCCUGAUCCAGCCAUGCCGCGUGCGGGAAGAAGGCCUUCGGGUUGUAAAGCGCUUUUGUUCGGGAAGAAGUCCUCUGAGCUAAUACCCCGGGGGGAUGACGGUACCGGAAGAAUAAGCACCGGCUAACUACGUG
rnacentral:rRNA from 1 species